UGGGGAAUAUUGGACAAUGGGCGAAAGCCUGAUCCAGCCAUGCCGCGUGAGUGACGAAGGCCUUAGGGUUGUAAAACUCUUUCGUCGGGGACGAUAAUGACGGUACCCGAAGAAGAAGCUCCGGCUAACUUCGUGCCAGCAGCCGCGGUAAUACGAAGGGAGCUAGCGUUGUUCGGAAUCACUGGGCGUAAAGCGCACGUAGGCGGAUAGUUAAGUCAGGGGUGAAAUCCUGGGGCUCAACCCCAGAACUGCCUUUGAUACUGGGAAGCUUGAGUCCGGGAGAGGUGAGUGGAACUGCGAGUGUAGAGGUGAAAUUCGUAGAUAUUCGCAAGAACACCAGUGGCGAAGGCGGCUCACUGGCCCGGUACUGACGCUGAGGUGCGAAAGCGUGGGGAGCAAACAGGAUUAGAUACCCCCGUAGUCCCUGAGCGGGCUGGCAAGGCGCAU
rnacentral:rRNA from 1 species